AGAGUUUGAUCCUGGCUCAGAACGAACGCUGGUGGCGUGCUUAACACAUGCAAGUCGAACGAGAAAGUUUCCUUCGGGAAAUUAGUAAAGUGGCGCAAGGGUGAGUAUCACGUGAAUAAUCUGCCCUCGAGAUCGGGAUAACAUGGUGAAAACUAUGCUAAUACCGGAUAAGACCACAUUUCAUAAGAAAUGCGGUAAAAGGAGUCUCAAUCUUCACUCGAGGAUGAGUUCGCGCAACAUUAGCUUGUUGGUGGGAUAAAAGCUCACCAAGGCUACGAUGUUUAGCCGGCCCACACUGGAACUGAGACACGGUCCAGACUCCUACGGGAGGCAGCAGUGGGGAAUAUUGCGCAAUGGGCGAAAGCCUGACGCAGCAACGCCGUGUGAGCGAUGAAGGCUUUAGGGUCGUAAAGCUCUGUCAAAUGGGAAGAAUUUUGACGGUACCAUUAGAGGAAGCCCCGGCUAACUCCGUGCCAGCAGCCGCGGUAAUACGGAGGGGGCAAGCGUUGUUCGGAAUUAUUGGGCGUAAAGCGUAUGUAGGCGGUUAAACAAGUCAGGCGUGCAAGCCCGUGGCUCAACCACGGAAUUGCGUUUGAAACUGUUUAACUUGAGUACAGGAGAGGAAAGCGGAAUUCCCAGUGUAGCGGUGAAAUGCAUUGAUAUUGGGAAGAACAUCUGUGGCGAAGGCGGCUUUCUGGUCUGUUACUGACGCUGAGAUACGAAAGCCAGGGUAGCGAACGGGAUUAGAUACCCCGGUAGUCCUGGCUGUAAACGAUGGGCACUAGGUGCAGGAGGUAUCGAUCCCCUCUGUGCCGUAGCUAACGCGUUAAGCGCAAGGCUGAAACUCAAAGGAAUUGACGGGGGCCCGCACAAGCGGUGGAGCAUGUGGUUUAAUUCGACGCAACGCGAAGAACCUUACCUGAGCUUGACAUGCACGGGAAAUCCAUAGAAAUAUGGCCCCUCUUCGGAGUCCGUGUGCAGGUGCUGCAUGGCUGUCGUCAGCUCGUGUCGUGAGAUGUUGGGUUAAGUCCCGCAACGAGCGCAACCCCUGCCUUUAGUUGCCAUCGGGUCAUGCCGGGAACUCUAGAGGGACUGCCGGUGAUAAACCGGAGGAAGGUGGGGAUGACGUCAAGUCCUCAUGGCCUUUAUGCUCAGGGCUACACACGUGCUACAAUGGCUGGUACAAAGAGUCGCAAGACCGCGAGGUGGAGCUAAUCUCAUAAAACCAGUCUCAGUUCGGAUUGGAGUCUGCAACUCGACUCCAUGAAGCUGGAAUCGCUAGUAAUCGUGAAUCAGCACGCCACGGUGAAUACGUUCCCGGGCCUUGUACACACCGCCCGUCACACCACGAAAGUCGAUUGUACCGGAAGUCAUGAUGCCAACCCGCAAGGGAGGCUGCUGCCUAUGGUAUGGUUGGUGAUCAGGGUGAAGUCGUAACAAGGUAGCCGUAGGGGAACCUGCGGCUG
rnacentral:rRNA from 1 species